AGAACCCGUUGGCACUACAGGGUCCAGUUUCAUAAAGCCCCGAAAUUUCGGGGUUUUUUGUUAUUUGACAAUCGAAUUAACUGGGCUUUUAUAGCCCUUUUUUU
rfam:Providencia sneebia DSM 19967 chromosome, whole genome shotgun sequence.